GUCCACGCCGUAAACGUUGGGCACUAGGUGUGGUGUCUUAUCAACGGAUUCCGUGCCGUAGCUAACGCAUUAAGUGCCCCGCCUGGGGAGUACGGCCGCAAGGCUAAAACUCAAAGGAAUUGACGGGGGCCCGCACAAGCGGCGGAGCAUGUUGCUUAAUUCGAGGCGACGCGAAGAACCUUACCUGGGUUGAACUACGCAGGAAAAGCCACAGAGAUGUGGUGUCCUUCGGGGCCUGUGAUAGGUGGUGCAUGGCUGUCGU
rnacentral:rRNA from 1 species